ensembl:lncRNA
UGCUAGCUUUUGAAUUUGUUUCAUCUUGUUCCUUUUGUUCUUUUAAUCUUGACAUUAGGGUGUCAAUUUUAGAUCUUUCCUCAUUUUUUUGUGGGCAUUUAGUGCUAUAAAUUUUCCUCCAGACACUGCUUUAAAUGUGUCCCAGAGAUUCUGGUAUGUUGUGUCUUCAUUCUCAUUGAUUUCAAAGAACAUUUUUAUUUCUGCCUUUAUUUUAUUAUUUAUCCAAUAGUCAUUCAGGAGCAGGUUGUUCAGUUUCCCUGUAAUUGUGUAGUUUUGAGUGAGUUUCUUAAUCCUGAGUUCUAGUUUGAUUGCACUGUGGUCGAGAGACUGGUAUGAUUUCCAUUUUUUUUUUUUUUUUGCAUUUGUUGAGGGUUGUUUUACUUCCAAUUACGUGGUCAGUUUUAGAAUAAAUGUGACGUGGUUCUGAGAAGAAUGUAUAUUCUGUGUAUUUGGGGUGGAGAGUACUGUAGAUGUCUGUUAGGUUCGCUUGCUUCAGAUCUAAGUUCAUGUUCUAGAUAUUCUUGUGGGGGGAAACUAGGGAAGGGGCAGAGGGGUAUGGGGAGUUGGGGAGGGACAACAAGGGGAGAAAUGCCAGAUAUAGGUGAUGAGGAGAAAGGCAACAAAUGAGAUUACCAUGUAUGUACCUAUGCAACAAUCUUGCAUGUUCUUCACAUGUACCCCAAAACCUAAAAUGCAACUCUCUCUCUCUCUCUCUCUCUCUCUCUAUAUAUAUAUAUAUAUAUAUAUAUAUAUAUAUAUUCUUGUUAACAUUCUGUCUCAUUAAUCUGUGUAAUAUUGACAGUGGGGUAUUAAAGUCUCCCACUAUUAGUCUGUGGGAGUCUAAGCCUCUUUGCACAUCACUAAGAACUUGCUUUAUUUAUCUGGGUGCUCCUGUAUUUAAUGCAUAUAUAUUCAGGAUCGUUAGGUCUUCUUGUUGCAGUGGGUGACUCAACCUUUCUCUCUUAGCAAUUUUUUCUUCUUUUCAACCCUGGUGAAACUGAUGAUUAUGUGCCUUGGGGUUUCUCUUCUCGAGAAGUAUCUUUGUGGUAUUCUUUGUAUUUCCUGUAUUUGAAUGUUGGUCUGCCUUGCUAAGUUGGGGAAGUUCUCUUGGAUAAUAUCCUGAAGAGUUUUUUCCAUCUUGAAUUCAUUCUCCUUGUCAUCUUUUGGUAUACCAAUUAGGUGUUUUCACAUAAUCCCAUAUUUCUUGGAGGCUUUGUUCUUUUGUUUUCACUCUUCUUUUUUCUUGCCUUCUCAUUUUAUUUCAUUGAGUUGAUCUUCAGUUUCUGAUAUGCUCUCUUCCCCUUGAUCAAUUCAGCUAUUGAAACUUGUGUAUGCUUUGUGAACUUCUUGUGCUGUGUUUUUUAGCUCCAUCAAGUCAUUUAUGUUCUUCUCUAAGCCAGUUAUUUUAGUUAGCAUUUCAUCUAGCCUUUUUUCAAGGUUUUUAGUUUCCUUGCAUUGGGUUAGAACUUGUUCCUUUAGCUCAGAAAAAAUAGUUAUUACCCACCUUCUGAAGUCUGCUUCUGCCAAUUCCUCAAAUUUGUUCUCCAUUCUGUUUUGUUCCCUUGCUGGUGAUAAAUUGUGUUCUCUUGGUAGGGGCGAGGCAUUCUAGUCUUUGAUGGUUUCUUUUUCUUCUUCUUCUUUUUUUUUUUUUUUUGCUCUGGUUUCUUCCCAUUUUAUUGGAUUUAUCUAGCUUUGAUUUUAGGUAGCUGCUUGGGGAGGCAGCCUUUCCUUUUCCUGCAGAGGUGCUGCUGGGCUGCCACAGAUUCCGUGGAACUGCUGCAUAGAUUUCCUAUGUCUUUUGUUUACUCAGGCAGAUUAGGCCUCUGCAGUGGUGGCUACCUUUCUCCCUGCUGAGCUUGAUUGUUCCUGCUCCCUCUCUAACUGAUGUGCUGGCUGCCAUACUCUCUCAAGUGAGAGGGCUUCAGCCUGCUGGGCUUUGUGGGGAGGGAACCUCCCAGCUAUAUUGCCUGAUUCCCUGCUCUCAGUUCCCUUUCUUUCUGGGGGUAGGUAGCUCCAUUCUGCAAGCUGCUUUCAGUUCCCUUUCUUUCUGGGGGCACGUAGCUCCAUUCUGCAGGCUGUCUCAACAUCAGCCAGUGCUUCCACCUAGAUCUGUGCUGACAACCAUGGCACCACCGGAGUUCCUGCUCAGUCCUGUUCAGGCAGCUCUCAGGGUUUUUUUUUUUUUUUUUUUUUUUUUUUAGCCCAGUGAAGAUCUGUUCUGUGGGUCGUGGAGGGCUUAGGUGAAGUGCAGUAUCUGAUCAGAAGUCCCAGAGGGGUAGAGCCCCUGAUUCUCUGGUCAGUUGCAUGCACCUCCUGGGUGGGGCAGUGCACUGUCCUGUCUCAACUUGCUCUUUUUGGUUUAUAGCCACUGUCCAAUUAGACCCACAAAACGAACCUGGUACCUCAUUUGGGACUCUGAUGACCACUUGGCUUCUGCAUAUCUCUUGCUGGGAACCACAUUCUGGAACUGCUUCUAUUCAGCCAUCUUGGAAAACCCCUCCCCACAUUUUCUUUAUCCAAUCCACUGUUAAUAGGCACCUAGGUUGAUUUCAUGUUUUUGCUAAUGUAAAAAUUGCUUCAAUGAACAUGUCAGUGUGUAUCUUUUGAGUAGAAAGGUUUAUUUUCUUUUAGA